rnacentral:lncRNA from 1 species
AGGAAAAAUUUCUGGAAGUUUUCCCCUCUUUCUAAAGAAAAACUCUCUCAUGCUGCCUUUGCAAGCUGCUGUCAACAAUUUGGAUUCAGACUGCUGAGCCUAGAAGACAUGAGAAGACAGGGAUGGGUGGGCUCCUACAUGUCCUCACAGAACUCUCCAUACACACCAGACAGAUGAAGAAGUGUCACUGAAAGAAUGGUUGGGGACUGACAACCUCAGACAUUCUGUCUAGAACCAAACACGGACCUGAAUUACUCACAAUGGACUGAGCAUUCUGGGAUGAUAGGCACCACAGUUGUAGGCCACAACUGGGGUGGCAUGGCCAACUUAUAUCAUCAGUGCUUUGUUUCCAGGGAUCUGCAUGAGCCCUCAGGACUGUACUUAUUGUGAGGGUGCCCUAUCACAACACCACCUCAGCCCUGGAAGGUAUUCAGGUCAGCUUUAACUGAGGCCAGAGCUGUGCUGUGGCCAGGUUAAAAAAAUAUUCCUAAGGAACAAAGGCUGCCUGAGGGUCCUUCAGAAUUAAUGGGAUUUGUUUAAACAGACUAAAUCCAGGACUCCUAAAGGGCAUAAGUGAGAUCGAUAGUGCUGAUAGUGCUAAGUCGGGUCUCACCCUGCUGUAUGGGAUCCUACUGCCACCGGUCAAAGUGUAGAUUGUGUAGAAAAAAGUUAACAUAGCAAGUCAGACUGCUGUCCUUAGAAUGGCCUGCUUGCAAGUUUGGCCCUGGGCUGAUAAGAACUUCAUUUAGGAAGUGUUCACAGCCCUCUCUAAGUCAUAAAGGUGACUCACUGUCCCUAGGCUAUUUGUGCAAACAUAGUUUACACUGAAGGAGAAAGCACAAGGAAACCGGCAUGUGGUUUCCUUCAGAUUCUGCCUGUGUCCUUUUCUUUUAUAAUCUGGCUAUAUCCGUGUAGUAAUUCUUGGCCCUGAAUACAACUAUAUGCUGUUUCAUGAGACUUAGCAUAUCCCCAAGUGAGGGAUAUGAGGUGGUCUUGGGAUCUCCUAAAAAAAUCAACAUUAGAAAUCUCAUAUUCUUUAAUAUUAUUGAUGUUGCUAUUUAUGAAUUUGUUAUCUUGAAAUUUCAAUUACCUUGAUCACUGCUUUGAAAUUAAGGUUGAUGUGUUUGUAAAUAAGCACAUAUUAUCACAAAAAAAAUGUUUAAGACUCCUUACAAGGGUUAUUCUAUUACCUAUAAAUUAAUGGACAUGGAUGGGCCCUCAAUUUUAUCUAUGGACAAGGAAAAACUAGUUCUAUGGGUUAUAUUUAAGGAAGUUGUAGGAGGCAAGAAUAAAGUCACUUCAUAAUUUCAUGCCAUGCUAGUUCAAUGUGAUAGUUACCAAAACAGCAUAUGUAUAAACUUUCUGCAGCUAUAACCUCUCAUUAUAGAAUGUAAGUUUUUUGUGGAGCUUUAGUUCAAAUACAUAAUUGUGUACAGAAAACUGCCAAAAUGCAACUUUGAAAAUCUUUCUCACUUUCAGCUGACUUUCUGAUCAUAGAUCAUCCACCUCUUGGUUCCAGCUGGGCUGGGUGCAAAGUAAGUCUUCUACACAGCUUAUGGAAAUGGAAAUAAGUGCUAUAACAUUAAAUGUCACAAAUUACUUAUAAGAAAAAUUGUUGCUUAUGUUUUCUAGGUUUUAAUAAAUUUUGAAGUUACUUAA